rnacentral:rRNA from 1 species
UUUAACUGAAGAGUUUGAUCAUGGCUCAGAUUGAACGCUGGCGGCAGGCUUAACACAUGCAAGUCGAGCGGGGGAAGGUAGCUUGCUACUGGACCUAGCGGCGGACGGGUGAGUAAUGCUUAGGAAUCUGCCUAUUAGUGGGGGACAACAUCUCGAAAGGGAUGCUAAUAC